AUUUUGUGACCGCCGUGUCUAUUUGCCUGAACACAGAUAGACACAGACUUGUG
rnacentral:sRNA from 1 species